GUCGAGCGAAGCACAAGAAUACGAUUCUUCGGAUGAAGAUUCCUGUGACUGAGCGGCGGACGGGUGAGUAACGCGUGGGUAACCUGCCUUACACAGGGGGAUAACAGUUAGAAAUGACUGCUAAUACCGCAUAAGACCACAGUACUGCAUGGUACAGUGGUAAAAACUGAGGUGGUGUAAGAUGGACCCGCGUCUGAUUAGGUAGUUGGUGGGGUAACGGCCCACCAAGCCGACGAUCAGUAGCCGGCCUGAGAGGGUGGACGGCCACAUUGGGACUGAGACACGGCCCAGACUCCUACGGGAGGCAGCAGUGGGGAAUAUUGCACAAUGGGGGAAACCCUGAUGCAGCGACGCCGCGUGAGCGAUGAAGUAUUUCGGUAUGUAAAGCUCUAUCAGCAGGGAAGAAAAUGACGGUACCUGACUAAGAAGCCCCGGCUAACUACGUGCCAGCAGCCGCGGUAAUACGUAGGGGGCAAGCGUUAUCCGGAUUUACUGGGUGUAAAGGGAGCGUAGACGGCAUGGCAAGCCAGAUGUGAAAUACCGGGGCUCAACCCCGGGACUGCAUUUGGAACUGUUAAGCUGGAGUGUCGGAGAGGCAGGCGGAAUUCCUAGUGUAGCGGUGAAAUGC
rnacentral:rRNA from 1 species